CAGCCGCGUAAUUCCAGCUCCAAUAGCGUAUAUUAAAGUUGUUGCAGUUAAAAAGCUCGUAGUUGAAUUUCGGGGUUAGUAGGUUGGUCAUGCCUCUGGUAUGUACUGGUCUCACUGAUUCCUCCUUCCUGAUGAACCUUAAUGCCAUUUAUUUGGUGUUUUGGGGAAUUUGGACUGUUACUUUGAAAAAAUUAGAGUGUUUAAAGCAAGCUAACGCUUGAAUACAUUAGCAUGGAAUAAUGAAAUAGGACGUUCGAUCCUAUUUUGUUGGUUUCUAGGAUUGACGUAAUGAUUAAUAGGGAUAGUUGGGGGCAUUAGUAGUCAAUUGUCAGAGGUGAAAUUCUUGGAUUUAUUGAAGACUAACUACUGCGAAAGCAUUUGCCAAGGAUGUUUUCAUUAAUCAAGAACGAAAGUUAGGGGAUCGAAGACGAUCAGAUACCGUCGUAGUCUUAACCAUAAACUAUGCCGACUAGGGAUCGGAUGAUGUUAAUUUUUUAAUGACUCAUUCGGCGCCUUACG
rnacentral:misc_RNA from 1 species